rnacentral:rRNA from 1 species
AACGAACGCUGGCGGCAGGCCUAACACAUGCAAGUCGAACGCCGUAGCAAUACGGAGUGGCAGACGGGUGAGUAACGCGUGGGAACAUACCCCUCGGUUCGGAAUAACUCAGGGAAACUUGAGCUAAUACCGGAUACGUCCGAGGUUUUAAUCGACCUUGGAGAAAGAUUUAUCGCCGGAGGAUUGGCCCGCGUCUGAUUAGCUUGUUGGUGAGGUAAUGGCUCACCAAGGCGACGANCAGUAGCUGGUCUGAGAGGAUGAUCAGCCACAUUGGGACUGAGACACGGCCCAAACUCCUACGGGAGGCAGCAGUGGGGAAUAUUGGACAAUGGGCGAAAGCCUGAUCCAGCCAUGCCGCGUGAGUGAUGAAGGCCUUAGGGUUGUAAAGCUCUUUGCCCGGGAAGAUAAUGACGGUACCGGGAGAAUAAGCCCCGGCUAACUUCGUGCCAGCAGCCGCCGUAAG